GCAUUCAGUAUAAUGUUUCAUUACUGCAAGGAAACAUUCAGUAUAAUGUUUUCAGAAUUACCAAGAAGCAUUCAGUAUAAUGUUUACAUAAUUACCAGGAAGCAUUCAGUAUAAUGUUUCAUUAUUGCAAGGAAACAUUCAGUAUAAUGUUUACAUAAUUACCAAGAAGCAUUCACUAUAAUGUUUCAUUAUUGCAUGGAAACAUUCAGUAUAAUGUUUUCAGAAUUACCAAGAAGCAUUCAGUAUAAGGUUUACAUAAUUACCAAGAAGCAUUCAGUAUAAUGUUUCAUUAUUGCAAGGAAACAUUCAGUAUAAUGUUUACAUAAUUACCAAGAAGCAUUCAGUAUAAUGUUUCAUUACUGCAAGGAAACAUUCAGUAUAAUGUUUACAUAAUUACCAAGAAGCAUUCAGUAUAAUGUUUACAUAAUUACCAGGCACUAUUCAGUAUAAUGUUUCAUUACUGCAAGGAAACAUUCAGUAUAAUGUUUACAUACUUACCAGGAAGCAUUCAGUAUAAUGUUUCAUUAUUGCAAGGAAACAUUCAGUAUAAGGUUUACAUACUUACCCAGAAACAUUCAGUAUAAUGUUUACAUAAUUACCAGGAAGCAUUCAGUGCCAGAUCCUUCUCAAGCCUUUGUAGUAAAGAAACUUCUGCGUGGUUGUCACAAAUUGGCAGGGACUGUAGACUCAAGGCUACCGAUAACGAAAGAUAUUUUAGCAAAACUUAUUGCGGCUUUGUCUCAUACGGUUGCAGCAAAAGCCAACUGCAUAUUAUUAGAUGCUCUGUUUAAAUUAUGCUUUCAUGCAUUCCUUCGCCUUGGGGAAGUGGUUUCAAAAUCUGCAGGAAGUAGCAGUUUGGUGGUGCAGCGGUCAAAUGUCGCCUUUCAAUUUGAGGGUUCUUUACUGAAAUCAGUGCAGAUAGUUCUACAUCAUUUCAAAAAUCAGAAACAUAACAAUCCUUUUGUCAUUACACUUGUGAGCAGCAUAGAUCCAACAAUGUGCCCUGUGGCAGCUCUGCAUCGCUAUUUAUCACAUUUCAAGCAUUCUUCGGGACCCUUAUUCCAGUUCAUAGGGGAAAACCCUGUUACAUAUUCUUAUGUCUCCACUCAACUCUAUGCCGCUGCAACCUUUGCUGGUCUGAACCCAAAGUUGUACAAAGGUCAUAGUUUUAGAAUAGGUGCUGCUACAUAUGCCACAAGUCUGGGUUAUUCUGAGAAUCUGAUCAAACAAUUAGGCAGAUGGAACUCUAAUGCCUUUCGUCGCUACAUAAGAAUACCUGCGUUCAACCUUUAACUUAUUUUAUACCCCAUCCUCUGAUUUUUUUUUUACUUGGUAGUCAGGGCGCAUUCAGGUUCAGCAACAACCUUUGGCAGGUCAGUGUCUAACUGCUGCUAAAGACUGCAUCACUUGCGUGCAUAUAUCAAUUGAAAAUUUGGGCAGGUCAGUGUCUAACUGCUGCUAAGGACUGUAUCAAUUGACGGUUAUAUCAAUUUUAAGACUUCGAGCAGGUCAGUGUUUAACUGCUGCAAAAAGUUUGGUACUAUGUAAAUAUUUAAACAAAAUAGGUUUUUUGCAAGUUGGUAUCUGUUAUAUUUUCUUUGUAGUAAUUCUUUUUUGCAAGUUGUAGAGAAAUUUUUUUCUGUUUUAUAUGCUACACAUUGGUACUGUAUACAUUGCUAUAUGUGGUUGGUGCAAUAUACCUUACUGACUCACUUAGUUACGCUAUCCUUUUAUACACAGAUAUGUCCAAAGUAUGUCUUGUUAUAUACAAUAUCCUUUAUGUUCUAGCACAGGAAUGUGUCAACUUUGGUAACCAUAUACACUGUUAAUUGCAAUCGGGUCAGUAUUUAACUGUUCAUGUGUGAUAAAUGUUUAUUAACUCUCCACAGUCAAACUAGUUAUUUCUCUCUGCUCACCUUGGAUGGCGCCAAUAUGAUACUGUGUUUCAUAUCUUGUGGCCUUAUUUGUUCGCCAUCUUUUUGCUCUGGGUUUGUUUUGAUGAAUUUUUAUUUGUCAUCUUAUAGCGUAGCAUUAUUUAAGUUAUUUUGUCUUCUUUGGGGGAAAUCAGACUUGGAGUAAUUUAGCUUUGCAGGUACUUUCAUGUAGAAUGUAUUAUCUGAUUUCCCCCAAAAUCUUAUGUUGAAGAUUUCUUUCGUCAUUUGGUAUUGUAAUAAAUGACAAAUUUUCAAUCUCAA